UCAAGCGGAUGAUCAUCAAUAAAUAUCAUGCCAAGACAGAUGAUACUUUAGAAGCUAGAACAGCUAAAUAACUCCUACAUUUUCCUGCCGGUAUACCCCUUGAGUCGAUGCCUCAUAGCUCGCACGGCAUCCAUCACAUUUGCUUUGGCCUCUUACUGCCACCAGACAUUGCCACAUGCCACCAGCUCCUGCCACUGCCUUUUACAUUGAAGAUUUUUGACUUCAAACUGCGAUAUCAUUAAAUAGGAUGCCAAGCAAUAUCCUAAAAGCAUGCAAACUUCUCCUAAAAUAUUGGCAGGAAGUGGACAAAUUGUGUAGAAGUUUUUCAGAUUAAGUCGCAAUACCCCCGUUAAAAACUGGAACAUAACCAGACACAGCGAGAGAAAGAGAGAGCGAGAGAGAGAGAGGGAAAGGGAGAGCGAGAUGGAAGAAG